UACGUAGGGUGCGAGCGUUAAUCGGAAUUACUGGGCGUAAAGCGUGCGCAGGCGGUUUGUUAAGACAGAUGUGAAAUCCCCGGGCUUAACCUGGGAACUGCGUUUGUAACUGGCAGACUGGAGUGUGGCAGAGGGGGGUGGAAUUCCAAGUGUAGCAGUGAAAUGCGUAGAUAUUUGGAGGAACACCGAUGGCGAAGGCAGCCCCCUGGGCUAACACUGACGCUCAUGCACGAAAGCGUGGGGAGCAAACAGG
rnacentral:rRNA from 1 species